rnacentral:rRNA from 1 species
CCUACGGGUGGCUGCAGUGGGGAAUAUUGGACAAUGGGCGAAAGCCUGAUCCAGCCAUGCCGCGUGUGUGAAGAAGGCCUUCGGGUUGUAAAGCACUUUCAGUGGGGAAGAAAGCCUUGGGGCUAAUACCCUCGAGGAAGGACAUCACCCACAGAAGAAGCACCGGCUAACUCCGUGCCAGCAGCCGCGGUAAUACGGAGGGUGCGAGCGUUAAUCGGAAUUACUGGGCGUAAAGCGCGCGUAGGCGGUCUGAUAAGCCGGUUGUGAAAGCCCCGGGCUCAACCUGGGAACGGCAUCCGGAACUGUCAGGCUAGAAUGCAGGAGAGGAAGGUAGAAUUCCCGGUGUAGCGGUGAAAUGCGUAGAGAUCGGGAGGAAUACCAGUGGCGAAGGCGGCCUUCUGGACUGACACUGACGCUGAGGUGCGAAAGCGUGGGUAGCAAACAGGAUUAGAUACCCCAGUAGUC